UAUACUAAAGCACAAGUCACCUAACAAAUAAAAAUCUGACACAUGGCAUUGGUUUAAAAAAAAUUAAAAUGCUGACAAAAAAUCAUGUUAGAUCCUAAAAUUUCUAAAAUUCCAAAUAACUAAAUCCCUAAAAUAUCUCACAUAAUCACUUCACGUUCUUGACAAAAAAAAAAAAAAAAGACUUUCACGUUCUAAAAUUACAGUUACAAUUUAAAACUGUUUUCUUUUUAAAUAAGUUUGACUAAAAAACUUUACUCUCUACUAAUCUCCUUCUCUCUCUCCUUCCUCUUUUCCAUUGUUUCAUAUUCUUCCUUUUUACGAUUACUGAGUCUUUGACUGAAGCAAAAACAACAUAGGACAUAAGGUUUAUAAUUACUUUGACCGAGUAUACUCAUGUUUCAAAGCUUAAUUCUUUUUUAAACUUCAAAGCUUUUUUUUUUUGGCAGCAUAAAUUUCAAAGCUUAAUUCUCCAAUAAAUGAGUGACAAAUCGAAGCUUUGUCAACAACAAAGGGAAGGAGAGUAAGAGGCUCAUCUUAGAUCACACUUUCAUGGCCCCUAGGAAACUUGAGAAGUACCACAAGAAGAAAAGAAGAAAGGAAAAAUGUUGUGAUAAUUAGAAAUCAACAAAUAGGGCAUAAGAUAGUCGGGUAAGUAUUCUAUAUUUUUUGUGUUUGUGUGUUUAUAAUCUUAUAAAAUAUAUCUUAUUUUCUUUACUUUUGAUUCAACAUACACUUCUGAUUUUUUUUUCUUAUAUAGUAUUAUUGAAUUUGUAGAUUCCCUCAUAAAAAGAAAUACCAAAGCAAAAAACAUCGUUGAAUAAAAACAAAUACAAAAAAGAAUAUAACCAAAAAAGUAUAUGUGAGUGAGAGAAUAAGAAAAUGACUAUAAAAUAUAAUAACCUCAAUUAUCUUCAAAACUAAGUUGACAUUUAAUU